AGGGCACCACCAGGAGUGGAGCCUGCGGCUUAAUUUGACUCAACACGGGAAAACUUACCUGGUCCUGACACUAGAAGGAUUGACAGAUUGAUAGCUCUUUCUUGAUUUGGUGGAUGGUGGUGCAUGGCCGUUCUUAGUUGGUGGAGUGAUUUGUCUGGUUAAUUCCGAUAACGAACGAGACUCUAGCCUAUUAAAUAACACACAGAAUCUUGUCUUCUGUGGCGUUUCUUAAUGGGAUCAAGUGUGUUUAACGCUUUGAAACAGAGCAAUAACGGGUCUGUGAUGCCCUUAGAUGUUCGGGGCCGCACGCGCGCUACAUUGAGAGACAAAAUGAGUUUUCUAGUCUUUAAUAAGGCUAGUAAUCUUUGUAUGUUUUUCUUAAUGGGGAUAGGGGAUUGCAAUUGUGCCCCUUGAACGAGGAGUUCCCAGUAAGUGCUAGUCAUUAGCUAGUACUGAUUACGUCCCUGCCCUUUGUACACACCGCCCGUCGCUACUACCGAUUGAAUGGUUUAGUGAGAU
rnacentral:rRNA from 1 species